rnacentral:misc_RNA from 1 species
AGAUUGUUUCCAUGACAACAAUGCCAAAGCUAUAAACAUCCACCUUCUCUGUUAUCACAGAGAUAAACCAUUCAGGAGCUAAAUAUCCAGGAGUUCCUCUCAUUGUGGUUGCCACUUGGCUUUGAUCCCUCUCAAUCAACUUACACAAGCCGAAGUCAGAUAUUUUUGCACGAAACUUCGCAUCCAACAAGAUGUUUUGGGGCUUG